rnacentral:rRNA from 1 species
UACGGAAGGCAGCAGUGGGGAAUAUUGCACAAUGGGCGAAAGCCUGAUGCAGCUAUGCCGCGUGUAUGAAGAAGGCCUUAGGGUUGUAAAGUACUUUCAUCGGGGAGGAAAAACAAAACUAAUAAUUUUAUUUCUUGACGUUACCCGAAAAAGAAGCACCGGCUAACUCCGUGCCAGCAGCCGCGGUAAUACGGAGGGUGCUAGCGUUAAUCAGAAUUACUGGGCGUAAAGAGCACGUAGGUGGUUUUUUUAAGUCAGAUGUGAAAUCCCUGGGCUUAACCUGGAACUGCAUUUUGAAACUGAAAUACUAGAGUAUCGUAGAGGGAGGUAGAAUUCUAGGUGUAGCGGUGAAAUGCGUAGAUAUCUGGAGGAAUACCUGUGGCGAAAGCGGCCUCCUAAACGAAUACUGACACUGAGGGUGCGAAAGCGUGGGGAGCAAACGAGGAUUAGAUACC